rnacentral:rRNA from 11 species
UCUGGCGGCAGUAGCGCGGUGGUCCCACCUGACCCCAUGCCGAACUCAGAAGUGAAACGCCGUAGC